UUUCAAAGAAAGUCACAUUCGCAGGUUAUUAGAAUUAGGUGUGGACAUGGCUUUGGGAGCCAUUGUCAGCCACUAUGACAUCACCCAGUGGGGGCAUUUGUGGGGUUGAAGUUGUUUUAUCCCUGUGAAGUGCUUGCAGUGGUGUCUGAGAAAAUGACUGGACACGGAGGUGCUGAACACAGCUGUCCUCACCGGGAAGGCCGUGUCGGUUCCUGUCAAGGUCGUGGGCAUUCAGGAGGACGGCUCCGUGGUGGACGUGUCAGAGGCUGUGGAGUGCAGGUCUGCGGACGAAGAUGUUGUGAAGAAAUACCCAAAGGCCGGAGCACAGCAUUCUGUGGGGACCGAAUAUUGAUCAUCAGUUAAAGAGGAAGGCUCGUAACCACAUCGGAGAGCACACAACUAUUACCGCGCGGAGCUGGUCCACUUAGGAGGCGUGGGGCGUUGAGUAGAAAACCUCCUUCUCAAUCCUUU
rnacentral:lncRNA from 12 species